CGAAGAAUUCGCAAAGACGAUCGGAAUUGCCCGGCCGUCCCUAUUACCUCUGCCAAUAGCGAUGCGACAUGGCUCUUCUUUUUCCAUUGAUUAGCGAAAAUACUACGAUCGUUUUCUCUUAAAUCAGGAAUAUAUCAUUCGACUUACGACGAGAUGAAGGUGAAAUUUAACUCGCCGAGAGAAGAUAUAUACUUCAUUUUUUUUUAAUGAACUUCCAUUGCAAAACACUUUACAAAUAUUCCAUGAUAAUUGAACGACUGAUUGGCUUUUUGUUAUGGAACAAUUACUAUGUAAAGCUAACGGCGCUUUUGGAUUCUAUUAUUUCCGCAUUCGUCAAUAUGAAUUUAGGUCGUAGAUAGAGAUCUUGAACAUUUGGUCAUAAUCUUUAGAGGUGAUUGUAAGAAAGAAUAUCCAUUCCAAUGUAUAUUUCAACUUGUGAAUAUUAUUUUUUUUUAUCGUUAAU